rnacentral:rRNA from 1 species
CUGGGAGUGGCACACUGCUCAGUAACACGUAGCUAACCUACCCUUAGGACGUGGAUACCCCCGAGAAAUUGGGGUUAAUCCGCGAUAGAUGUAAUGUCCUGGAAUGGUAUUACGUCUAAAGGUAUUUCAUACAUGUUUGGUAUAUGCCUAAGGAUGGGGCUGCGGCCGAUCAGGCUGUUGGUGAGGUAAUGGCUCACCAAACCUUUGACCGGUACGGGCCAUGAGAGUGGUAGUCCGGAGAUGGACACUGAGACAAGGGUCCAGGCCCUACGGGGCGCAGCAGGCGCGAAACCUCCUCAAUGCACUAACGUGCGAAGGGGUUACCUCGAGUGCCACCUGAAGAAGGUGGCUUUUCCUUGGUCUAAAAAGCCUAGGGAAUAAGAGGGGGGCAAGACUGGUGUCAGCCGCCGCGGUAACACCAGCCCCUCGAGUGGUGGGGAUGAUUAUUUGGCCUAAAGCGUCCGUAGCCGGCCGGGUAAGUUUCCCGUUAAAUCCAGCGUCUCAAGCGUUGGACUGCGGGAAAUACUGCCUGGCUAGAGAGUGGGAGAGGUCAGCGGUAUUCUGGGGGUAGGGGCGAAAUCCUUUGAUCCCCGGAGGACCACCAGUGGCGAAGGCUGCUGACUAGAACGCGUCUGACGGUCAGGGACGAAAGCUGGGGUAGCGAACCGGAUUAGAUACCCGGGUAGUCCCAGCCGUAAACGAUGCAUGCUAGGUGUUGGGUUGGCCACGAGCCACCCCAGUGCCGCAGGGAAGCCGUUAAGCAUGCCGCCUGGGAAGUACGAUCGCAAGGUUGAAACUUAAAGGAAUUGGCGGGGGAGCACCACCAGGCGUGAAGCCUGCGGUUUAAUUGGAUUCAACGCCGGA